CGCGUGAGUGAUGAAGGCCCUAGGGUUGUAUAGCUCUUUCACCGGUGAAGAUAAUGACGGUAACCGGAGAAGAAGCCCCGGCUAACUUCGUGCCAGCAGCCGCGGUAAUACGAAGGCGCCUAGCGUUGUUCGGAUUUACUGGGCGUAUAGCGCACGUAGGCGGAUUGGUCAGUUAG
rnacentral:rRNA from 1 species